rnacentral:lncRNA from 1 species
CUUCAAAUGAUCGAUUCAAUUCCAGAUAGUUUGCGUCUUUUUCCAUCUACUGCGUAUGCUUAUUUCCUUGAAACUUUGUGUCAUUGUCAUCUUAAUAAUGUCAGACAAUGUCAGGAUUCCCUUCAGAGUUUACAACUGGUAAUAGAAGAAGAUUAUUUCAUUUCUAACUCUUUGUAUAAAGCAAACUUCUACACUUUGUUAGGAAAUGCUUUACAGUUAUUUGGUCGAAAGGAAUCCGCAAGACGAGCAUUCGUACAAUCUGUUGAAGUAUUCCCAUACUAGGAGUACAAAGUUGCAGUAUGUAAAUAGAUUUCUAUAAAGGAGUUAAGUGUGACAUAUGUGUAGUCAGAUAAACUACCAAAAUUGUGUUGUUUUGAUUCUAUUUAUU